ACAACAAGAACAAGAAAGCACACCCAAUAACAAGAACAACACGUAGCGACUCCGACACAAUAAAAACAAGCAGGUGGGAGACGUAGCAAACUGAUUCUUUUGGAGAGGAAUUGCCCGACAGGUUUCCUGUCGACCGGACCGAGAACAAUAAAACUGCCUUGAGGCAGCUCCAGAACCGGUUGAGCCCGCGAGGGCAGUGGCAACAUCAGCGACCAAAAUAAUCCGUUUGUUCUUUAUGUCCCGAAUGGGACUGCUAUGCGGACGAUGGUCCGAUCGGGCUGCGAACAAAAACAACAAGCCCGUCAGCAGAAGAAGAACAAAGCAACACGCCCUGAAGGGGAGCCUAGCGGCUCCCCUUUUUAUUUGGUUCUUCGCGGACUCU
rnacentral:sRNA from 1 species